CCCGCAGGAGGAGCCGCCCUGGGCGCCCCACUCCCGGCGCAGAGCGGAGUGGGCGGUGCAGACGAGGAGAGCCGAGGUCAGCAGCACGAUUUCCCGUCCUCCUCUUCUCGGAUCCGCGGAGGAGGUCGGGGCAGGAAAACUCUCACCAAACCAAACCCGAAGGAAGACCCUUUGCACCAAGGAGAGAAGAGGGCGCCAUGUAAGCUUUACACCAGCAGACUGUUGGAUCUUCACAGCAGCUACGGGAUAAUUCCUCAAAGGCAACAGGGCUGAGUUAGGGAGAGUCAGUUUACAUGCAAUUUAGAAGUGGGAGGUUUAAAACAAGUGACAAAGCGUCACAUAGCUGCUUAGGUACAUUGAGGCCUAUAUUGGCAGGCAGGCUGGUCUGGAAACAAAGGAAUUGUUCAUCAUGUUACAGAGUCACUGGGGCACGGGGGAGCAGCCCUUACAGAGUGAGCACAGGGAAGUCAUUACCAUGACAUGGAGCAUUCCGGGGAGGGCCCUUGGGUUAGUCCAGGGCGCCUUAAGGUACACAAAUUACUGUGACUCAGCGCUCAUCAGAGGUGCGCAGCUGGGCUUGGACACCGUCAAGGUCAGUUGAAUUCAGCAGAAACAGGAGGACACAGAAAAGCGGUCAGAGAUUUCUAAUUGAUCAUGAAAUAUCUAUAAGUUUGAUGUCUUAUAAAUGUGUUUCUACAUGAUAAUUGUGGCCGAACACAUCCUCUUCUAAUUUUGCAAAGGAAGGAGUGACUGGCUGGUGACCGCAGAACACAGGCAGCAGUCUGUGUACAAUCCAGAGCAGGAGAAGCUCAGUGGGGUGCACAGGGCCCCAGAGGGGAGAGUGGAUUCCCCAGGACAGGGAGCAGUGCAAUUUAGGUCCUGACACUGUGGAAUGUGCUGAGCAGCCUUUUCCCUGAGACAGCCUGCAGCUUGUCAGUGUGAGUGGACAGGAAGAGGGGCAGCAUGUGGAGCAGCACCCCAGUGGGCACCCCGUUGUACUGCAAAUGGACAUCGUGUGAACUUCUCCGAUCUUAUUCUCGGGGAAUGCGUGAUGGGGUUGCGGGAGAUGGAUUUUCUCAGAACAAGAACAAGAACAGUUAUUGGGCAGCCUCGGAGGGAGAUGAUCUGACUUAUCGGAAAGUAAGUCUCCACACGGGGGUCCAUGUGCUUUGGGGCGUGGGAUCUGGGAAGAAUUUUCCAUGAGUUUCACACCAGCAGUGAAAGAAGUGGUGGGAUUUUCACAGCGUAUUCCUGGGUGCUGGGUCCCAGUCCUCUCCCCCGAUGGCCAGAUGAGCCUUUUACAGGCUGGGACUUUAGGGGUGCGAUUUGCAUCAUUGUUUGCGGCAAUGCGCACUCUGUGGAGGCUUUGAAGGAAGCACUCAUUGUGCUCAGAAAUGAAAACCACCCAAAUGAGGCCUCUGUGUUUACAAACGCCUGUGUAACUCCACUGGGGCUGCCAAAUAGCCCACAGUACUGGGUUCUGUCACUUUUCUGUUGGCAGCAGCUUUGAAUGUGAGAAACCAUUUUCUAGAAAUUCACCCAUAAAUUAGAUUUUGCAGUUUUUCAGAUAGGGAAGAAAUGGUUUCUUUAUUCUACUUUUUUUCUAAAAUUAUAUUGUAAGGAGAACAAAACCAAACAAAAUAAAACAAAAGAAAGCCAAUCAAAGCAGUGAAAGUGAUAGAAUACUUCCAAACAGGAUAAUAGGGAAUGAACAA